UCAAGCGAAUAAGCGCACACGGUGGAUGCCUUGGCGGUCAGAGGCGAUGAAGGACGUGGCAGCCUGCGAAAAGUAUCGGGGAGCUGGCAACAAGCUUUGAUCCGGUAAUGUCCGAAUGGGGAAACCCACCCGCUUGCGGGUAUCCUGCAGUGAAUACAUAGCUGCUGGAAGCGAACCUGGUGAACUGAAAUAUCUAAGUAACCAGAGGAAAAGAAAUCAACCGAGAUUCCGUAAGUAGCGACGAGCGAACGCGGACUAGCCCUUAAGCUGAUUUGGUUCUAGGAAAACGCUCUGGAAAGAGCGGCCAUAGAAGGUGAUAGCCCUGUAUCUGAAAGGGCCAUUUCAGUGAAGACGAGUAGGGCGGGGCACGUGAAACCCUGUCUGAACAUGGGGGGACCAUCCUCCAAGGCUAAAUACUACUGACCGACCGAUAGUGAACCAGUACCGUGAGGGAAAGGCGAAAAGAACCCCGGAGAGGGGAGUGAAAUAGAACCUGAAACCGUGUGCGUACAAGCAGUAGGAGCUCCGCAAGGAGUGACUGCGUACCUUUUGUAUAAUGGGUCAGCGACUUACUGUUCGUGGCAAGCUUAACCGUAUAGGGGAGGCGAAGGGAAACCGAGUCUGAUAAGGGCGCAUAGUCGCGGGCAGUAGACCCGAAACCGGGUGAUCUAGUCAUGCCCAGGGUGAAGGUGCGGUAACACGCACUGGAGGCCCGAACCCACUCCCGUUGCAAAGGUAGGGGAUGAGGUGUGAUUAGGAGUGAAAAGCUAAUCGAACCCGGAGAUAGCUGGUUCUCCUCGAAAGCUAUUUAGGUAGCGCCUCAUAUGUAUCCUCUCGGGGGUAGAGCACUGUUAUGGCUAGGGGGUCAUCGCGACUUACCAAACCAUUGCAAACUCCGAAUACCGAGACGGACUGUAUGGGAGACACACGGCGGGUGCUAACGUCCGUCGUGAAAAGGGAAACAACCCAGACCCACAGCUAAGGUCCCAAAUUCACUGCUAAGUGGAAAACCAUGUGGAAAGGCACAGACAGCCAGGAGGUUGGCUUAGAAGCAGCCACCCUUUAAAGAAAGCGUAAUAGCUCACUGGUCGAGUCGGUCUGCGGGGAAGAUUUAACGGGGCUAAGCAGUGAACCGAAGCUUGGGGUGCAUAACUUUGUUAUGCGCGGUAGAGGAGCGUUCCGUAAGCCGUUGAAGGUGGAUUGAGAAGUCUGCUGGAGGUAUCGGAAGUGCGAAUGCUGACAUGAGUAACGAUAAUGCGGGUGAAAAACCCGCACGCCGAAAGCCCAAGGUUUCCUUGCGCAACGUUAAUCGGCGCAGGGUGAGUCGGCCCCUAAGGCGAGGACGAAAGUCGUAGUCGAUGGGAAGCAGGUUAAUAUUCCUGCACCUCGCGUAAGUGCGAUGGAGGGACGGAGAAGGUUAGGUGUACCAGGCGUUGGUUGUCCUGGGGAAAGGCGGUAGGUUUGGAUCUUUGGCAAAUCCGGGAUCCUCUAAGACCGAGCACCGAGACGAGCCUUUAUGGCAAAGUCACUGAUACCACGCUUCCAGGAAAAGCUCCUAAGCUUCAGCUUACGCAGACCGUACCGUAAACCGACACAGGUGGGUAGGAUGAGAAUUCUCAGGCGCUUGAGAGAACUCGGGUGAAGGAACUAGGCAACAUGGCACCGUAACUUCGGGAGAAGGUGCACCCUUUUUGGUGGCUCGUGCGAGCUAUAGCUGAAGAGGGUCGCAGUAACCAGGCCGCUGCGACUGUUUAUCAAAAACACAGCACUCUGCAAACACGAAAGUGGACGUAUAGGGUGUGACGCCUGCCCGGUGCUGGAAGGUUAAUUGAUGGGGUCAGCCGCAAGGCGAAGCUCUUGAUCGAAGCCCCAGUAAACGGCGGCCGUAACUAUAACGGUCCUAAGGUAGCGAAAUUCCUUGUCGGGUAAGUUCCGACCUGCACGAAUGGCGUAACGACAGCGGCGCUGUCUCCACCCGAGACUCAGUGAAAUUGAAAUCGCUGUGAAGAUGCAGCGUUCCCGUGGCAAGACGGAAAGACCCCGUGAACCUUUACUAUAGCUUUACACUGAACGUUGAGUUCGUCUGUGUAGGAUAGGUGGGAGGCUAUGAAACUGUGGCGCUAGCUGCAGUGGAGCCAUCCUUGAAAUACCACCCUGUCGUGCUUGACGUUCUAACCUGGGCCCAUUAUCUGGGUCGGGGACCGUGUAUGGUGGGUAGUUUGACUGGGGCGGUCUCCUCCUAAAGAGUAACGGAGGAGCUCGAAGGUACGCUCAGCGCGGUCGGACAUCGCGCACUGUGUGCAAAGGCAUAAGCGUGCUUGACUGCAAGAUCGACGGAUCAAGCAGGUAGGAAACUAGGACUUAGUGAUCCGGUGGUUCUGUAUGGAAGGGCCAUCGCUCAACGGAUAAAAGGUACUCCGGGGAUAACAGGCUGAUACCGCCCAAGAGUUCAUAUCGACGGCGGUGUUUGGCACCUCGAUGUCGGCUCAUCACAUCCUGGGGCUGUAGUCGGUCCCAAGGGUAUGGCUGUUCGCCAUUUAAAGUGGUACGCGAGCUGGGUUCAGAACGUCGUGAGACAGUUCGGUCCCUAUCUGCCAUGGGCGUUGGAGAUUUGAGAGGGGCUGCUCCUAGUACGAGAGGACCGGAGUGGACGAACCUCUGGUGUUCCGGUUGUCACGCCAGUGGCAUUGCCGGGUAGCUAUGUUCGGAAGCGAUAACCGCUGAAAGCAUCUAAGCGGGAAGCGCGCCUCAAGAUGAGAUCUCCCGGGGCACAAGCCCCCUGAAGGAACCAUGUAGACUACGUGGUUGAUAGGUCAGGUGUGUAAGUACAGCAAUGUAUUGAGCUAACUGAUACUAAUGAUCCGAGAGGCUUGACCAU
rnacentral:rRNA from 1 species